UGGGGAAUAUUGCACAAUGGAGGAAACUCUGAUGCAGCAACGCCGCGUGGAGGAUGACACAUUUCGGUGCGUAAACUCCUUUUAUUAGGGAAGAUAAUGACGGUACCUAAUGAAUAAGCACCGGCUAACUCCGUGCCAGCAGCCGCGGUAAUACGGGGGGUGCAAGCGUUACUCGGAAUCACUGGGCGUAAAGAGCAUGUAGGCUGGUUUGUAAGUUGGAAGUGAAAUCCUAUGGCUCAACCAUAGAACUGCUUCCAAAACUACUUACCUAGAGUAUGGGAGAGGUAGAUGGAAUUUCUGGUGUAGGGGUAAAAUCCGUAGAGAUCAGAAGGAAUACCGAUUGCGAAGGCGAUCUACUGGAACAUUACUGACGCUGAGAUGCGAAAGCGUGGGGAGCAAACA
rnacentral:rRNA from 1 species